AUCGGGAAAUCGAGAAAGCGAAAUCGAGAAAUCGAGAAAUCGGGAAAUCGGAAAAUCAAGAAAGCGAAAACGCGAAAUCGAGAAAUCAAGAAAGCAAGAACGCGAAAACGCGAAAGCGAAAACGCGCAAACUGGAAAUGAAAUUGAUUUCUCGACUUUCUCGAUUUCUCGAUUUCCCGAUUUCCCGAUUUCUCGAUUUCUCGAUUACGCUUUCUCGAUUUCUCGAUU
rnacentral:sRNA from 1 species